AGCCCUGUGGUGUAGCGGUUAACAUAUUGGCCUUUGGAGCCAGCGACAGCGGUUCGAAUCCGCUCAGGGCUG
rnacentral:tRNA from 1 species